UAAACGACUCUCGGCAACGGAUAUCUCGGCUCUUGCAUCGAUGAAGAACGUAGCGAAAUGCGAUACUUGGUGUGAAUUGCAGAAUCCCGUGAACCAUCGAGUCUUUGAACGCAAGUUGCGCUCGAGGCCAUUUAGGUUGAGGGCACGUCUGCCUGGGCGUCACAC
rnacentral:rRNA from 1 species